rnacentral:rRNA from 1 species
GAUGAACGCUAGCGAUAGGCUUAACACAUGCAAGUCGAGGGGCAGCACAAGGUAGCUUGCUAUCUGGGUGGCGACCGGCGCACGGGUGCGUAACGCGUAUGCAACUUGCCCUAUACAGGAGGAUAACCCGUCGAAAGACGGACUAAUACUGCGUAUGCUCACAACUUGGCAUCAAGUGGUGAGGAAAGAAAUUCGGUAUAGGAUAGGCAUGCGUCCCAUUAGCUUGUUGGUGAGGUAACGGCUCACCAAGGCAACGAUGGGUAGGGGAACUGAGAGGUUUAUCCCCCACACUGGUACUGAGACACGGACCAGACUACUACGGGAGGCAGCAGUGAGGAAUAGUGGUCAAUGGGCGCGAGCCUGAACCAGCCAAGUCGCGUGAAGGAUGACUGUCUUAUGGAUUGUAAACUUCUUUUAUACGGGAAUAACAAGAGUCACGGGUGACUCCCUGCAUGUACCGUAUGAAUAAGCAUCGGCUAACUCCGUG